rnacentral:rRNA from 1 species
CCUACGUGAGGCAGCAGUGGGGAAUAUUGCGCAAUGGGCGAAAGCCUGACGCAGCGACGCCGCGUGAGGGAUGAAGGUCUUCGGAUCGUAAACCUCUGUCAGCAGGGAAGAACGGUCACUGUGCUCAUAAGCAGUGCAUUGACGGUACCUGCACAGGAAGCACCGGGUAACUCGGGGCCGGCAGCCGCGGUAAUGCGGAGGGUGCGAGAGUUAAUCGGAAUUACGUGGCGUAACGCGCUCGUGGGCGGUAUGUCAAGUCAAGGGGUAAAUCCCCGCGCUCAACGUGGGAACUUGCUUUGAAACUGGCAAACUGGAGUGUGUGAGAGGAUAGUGGAAUUCCAGGGGUAUGCGUGAAA